UCGAGUGGCGAACGGGUGAGUAACACGUGGGUGAUCUGCCCUGCACUCUGGGAUAAGCCUGGGAAACUGGGUCUAAUACCGGAUAUGACCUGAUGCUGCAUGGUAUCGGGUGGAAAGCUUUUGCGGUGUGGGAUGGGCCCGCGGCCUAUCAGCUUGUUGGUGGGGUAAUGGCCUACCAAGGCGACGACGGGUAGCCGACCUGAGAGGGUGAUCGGCCACACUGGGACUGAGACACGGCCCAG
rnacentral:rRNA from 1 species